CGAGCGAAUGGAUUAAGAGCUUGCUCUUAUGAAGUUAGCGGCGGACGGGUGAGUAACACGUGGGUAACCUGCCCAUAAGACUGGGAUAACUCCGGGAAACCGGGGCUAAUACCGGAUAACAUUUUGAACCGCAUGGUUCGAAAUUGAAAGGCGGCUUCGGCUGUCACUUAUGGAUGGACCCGCGUCGCAUUAGCUAGUUGGUGAGGUAACGGCUCACCAAGGCAACGAUGCGUAGCCGACCUGAGAGGGUGAUCGGCCACACUGGGACUGAGACACGGCCCAGACUCCUACGGGAGGCAGCAGUAGGGAAUCUUCCGCAAUGGACGAAAGUCUGACGGAGC
rnacentral:rRNA from 1 species